AAGUGCUCCUCGGGGAGAAUUUCAUCCUCCUCCUGCUGUAACAACGUCAUUAUGGAGCUGUCCUCCUCAUCCUCUUCCACCGCACGUUUCUGUUGAAAAAUAUUUCAUUAGACUCUUAUUUGUUUCAGGUUAUAAAAUCAUACAAGAGAGAGAUCUUGCGCUCAACAGAUUCACUACUCAAAACUGUGACUAAUAACUCGCAAAUUCUCUGACAUGAGAGAGUGAUCUUGCGCUCAACAGAUUCACUACUCAAAAAAUCAUUUUCUCACCUCACAACUCAUAAGCAAUUGUGCUCUCGUGAAGGAACCUUACCUGCAUCUAGAAAAUCAUAGCCGAGGAGCUAGCUGAGAGAAGCAUAUCCGAUUAUUUCAUUUCGUCAAAUCAACACAUAAAAAAUGGCGAGAAUACAAAGUUAUCGUUGUGAACUAACUGUACUAUUGGAGACGCAUCACCAAUUAUUGGACCAGUUAGCAGAAAAAGGAUGGACAAAUCUACAAUAUUUAACAUUUGUGAGAGAUUAUGAAAAAUUAGGAGUUUGGCAUAGUGAUAACUAUAAUCAUAUUUCAGUUUGUGAAUUAUACGGUACAUCAUAUGAUAAAUUCUGGGAGAAUGGCAAUAUCCCAGGCUCAUACAGAUGUGAUUGUGCUCAUCUUAAAGAGUCUAUCGAUAAAAUUAAGAAGGUUAUAACAGAA